rnacentral:rRNA from 1 species
UACGUAGGGUGCAAGCGUUAAUCGGAAUUACUGGGCGUAAAGCGUGCGCAGGCGGUUGUGUAAGACAGAUGUGAAAUCCCCGGGCUCAACCUGGGAACUGCAUUUGUGACUGCACAGCUGGAGUGCGGCAGAGGGGGAUGGAAUUCCGCGUGUAGCAGUGAAAUGCGUAGAUAUGCGGAGGAACACCGAUGGCGAAGGCAAUCCCCUGGGCCAUAACUGACGCUGAGAAGCGAAAGCAUGGGGAGCGAACAGG